UAAAGAAGUGGUUCAGGCCAUGCAUUGAAACUGACCUGAGAAGACUCUACUCACACAGAGCACUGACCUGUUCUGGAGGACUUCUGACAGGAGGUGGAGGUCUGGCUCUGGGUGAGGAGGUGGAGGUCUGGCUCUGGGUGAGGAGGCAGACACCUUGGGACAAACUACAUGUUACCUUUUUAACCUUGUACAGUUCUAGAGUAUCUUCUACUGUAACAUGUGGGAAUGACGGACAUUAUUUUAGCUUUGAUAUUAUCCAGUUGGUAACUCUGCACCAAAGUCGUUCUUUAACGUCAUUCCAUUGGGUAGGGUUUAACUUCUGUGGCAAUUAAUGACAGCAUAUAUUUAGAACGUACAAAAGCUGAAGUAACAAAGAACACUAAGCAGUAUCGAUAUUAAAUCAAAUAUACUCAGCCAUAUUCAGGUGCUGGGUUCCGUUGAAGAAAUGUCAAAUUAUCUUCCACCUUGAAAUGAUUUUCAGCCAGUCAAAAAUGGGCCCGCAAGUAGAACGCUGUUUUUGUACGCAGUGAGAGUCCCGCAACGUCAUCGUGGUUAAAAGUACGGCGCAACCAUCGGAAAUUAUCAACAUAUUGUACGAAGUACGUCUCAGUAUGUAUUUAAUAUCAAACUUUAGUUGUUUAAGAUAGGGGCAACAAUUCCCAAUGGAAAACGACUGAAAGAUAGUUUCUGUUGGCAACGCCUCGAGGUUACUCAAAUACAAUCCAGAACGUUCCGCCAGAUUCCCUCAGGGGACUCCCUUCAAACUAACUGCCAGGUGGUUUCUUAUGGUUGUCAAGACUACAACGUUCUAUGCUAACCAUUGGGACUAAAUCAAGUGACCGCACUCAAAACCUUCCACGGCGGGAAGCACAAACCGUCCGACUGGAAUACGAACAUUCCGGCCGGAACCAACCAAAAAAACCGAACCAGCGCCUCACCUUGAGCUGAACGGAGGAAGAUCCUGAAGUCCAGCGAUGGUCUUCAUUAAAACACAGCCAACAGACUUACCUUGAGGAGAUCUG
ensembl:lncRNA